rnacentral:tRNA from 1 species
AUUUAGAUAAUUUAAUAAUAAAAUAUUGAUUUGUGGAAUCAAAAAUAUGAAAUUCAUUCUAAAUA